AUGUCAGCCCUGAACCAGGGCCUCGUGCUAGGAAGGCCCACAGUCCGAGGGAGAAGAGGAACCCUUCGGCCUCCCCUCCGGGAACUGGUGGGGGCGCGAGGAUCUUUUCCCCAGCCUGGUCCUGGAGUUGUGGCGCUUCUGUUUGUUGCCUUGGCAACAGGGAGAGGAAACCCUCAUUUAGGAGGCAGGGGAGGCCCCGGCAACCGCGCACACAGAUACACACAGACCGCACGCAGCCGCCCACGCGCCUCUGCCUGCGUCAGCGCCGGGCCGGGGUGGGGGAGCNNNNNNNNNNNNNNNNNNNNNNNNNNNNNNNNNNNNNNNNNNUGCCCCAGGCCCGCAGGUGGCUGGGGCCUCAGGGUUUGUGCUGGCCUAGCGGGGUGGCCUGGCCUCCGCUGGUGGGGUGUUGGGGAUGGAGCUCCGCGGCAGGGCCUGAGGUCAAGGCCAAGAGGAAUGAGGUCCACCCCACAUAGCCCCCAGCCCGUGAGUGGCACAGGACAGCCACUUAGGAAGGGGCGCGGUCUCCACGCAGCGGUGUAACUACCACCUCACGCUGUACUGGAGAGGUCAAGCAGAACCGGAACAUGAUUACCAUCAGGAGGCCGGCAGCAGCUGCAUCUGCGUCAACACAGUCGCGCAGGAAGCGGACCAGCUGACCCAGAUCACGCUGACUAUCCCAGGACCUCACACCGCCCUGCGCUGAGGGCCACCUGUGCCAGAACUGCAGCCACGGGAGUCGGAGUUGUCCAGUCACAGUGCCAUAACCAGGCUGCCGCUGGCCUCCCUGGCCCCAGUGACCCGUCCCUUCUCCACCUGUAAUAAAUGCCAGGUUCUAUGGGCAAAAAAAAAGAGAGGAUGUUUGUUGUAGUGCUGUUUUACACGGUCAGCAAGAUAAUGCAGAUUCCUGCGCCCAGUGAUAGUACCUUUCAGUACUCAGUAGUCAUUCCUGUGCUGCUGGAGCCCCGCCUUCUUGCACUGUACCCUUUAGUGGCUUUCUCUCACCAAGGCCAGCGCCUUUGGUUUUAUUUAAUGAGAUACUGUUGCUAUGUUGCCCAGCCUGUUCUUGAGCUGGUGAGCUCAGGUGAGCCUCCUGCCUUAGCCUCCCGAAUGGCCUCUGACUUCCCCGUCACUUGUCUGGAUGCUGCUGUCUUCUAGGCCUCCAGUCUGGUCAAGCAGCUGGAGGCCUCUUCCUCGUUGGCCCUCAUGCAGACUCCUCCCUCCACCCACACUUUGCAGCCUUGUCCCUCUGCCCUCCUCCUGGCAGGACCAGCUGCACACUCCCUUCUUCCCCUGCUCCGGCACCUCUGCAAGCCUUCCGCCCGGCAUCAGUUCACCUGCGCGCCUCCCACUCGUCCAGCCAAAGUGCCAGGAGACAGGGGCACUUGUCCUGAAUUUGGCAGGCUGCUGGCUCCAAGUUCUGGGCUCCACCUGCUUCUUACUGUCUGCUUUUGGAAAAGUCACCUGUGCCUGUCAAGUGGGGACCCAGUCUGCAGCCCAUGGGGAUGUGUGUGAAAACACAAGGAGAAAGCCUGUAUAAUAACGGGACGUGGUAGUGGUGAAUACCUGUGAAUACCAGCACUUGAGAGGCUGGGGCAGGAGGAUCUCAAGUUCAAGGCCGGUCCAGGCAAUUUAACCAGACUAUCUCAAAAGUAAAUUAGGGCAGGGGAUUUAGCUCAGUGGUGCUGCGUCCUGCCUCACAAGUGCAAGGUCGUAAAUUCAAUCUCUGGUACCAAAUUAAUUAAUUAAUGAAAUAAAAAGUGCUGAGAAUGAAGCUCAGUGGUACAGUGCUCUUGGAUUCAAUCCUCAGUGCCAAANNNNNNNNNNNNNNNNNNNNNNNNNNNNNNNNNNNNNNNNNNNNNNNNNNNNNNNNNNNNNNNNNNNNNNNNNNNNNNNNNNNNNUUUUUUUUUUUUUUUUUUUUUUUUUUUUUUGUACCAGGGAUUGAACUCGGGACCUUGCACUUGCAAGGCAGGCAGCAGAACCUGCUCUUAGUUUUAAUUCUCACAGCACUUAUCACCUUGUAAGAAACUAUAAUUUUACCAGGUGUGGUGGUGCACGCCUGUAGUCCCAGCACUUGGGAGGCUGAGGCAGGAGGAUUGCUGUGAGUGUGAGGCCAGCCUGGGCUACAUAGUGACACCAUUUCAAAACAAAGAACUAACCUAUAAUUUUGCCUCUUGUUGACUAGCUUCACUAGAAUGUGGGCUCCAUGAGUGUAGGCAUUUUUAUGUUUCUGUUCUUGCUGUUUGAGUGCUGGGGAUGGAACCUGGGCCUUGUGCAUGCUGUGCUGAGCUUUACCACUGAACUCCAGCUUGGCCCUGGCUUUUUUUUUUUUUUUUUUCUUAUUGGUACCGAGGAUUGAACUCUGGUCCUUGCACUUGCAAGGCAGGCGGCAGAACCACUGAACUAAAUCCCUGUGUGGCCUGAUUUUUAAUCUGUUUUCUUCACUGCCGCAUCCCUGGUGCCUAGAAGAAUGCCUGGCACACAGCAGGUGUUCAGAAAUACUUGUUAGAGGAGUGACUGCUCUGUGCAUGUGCACUUCUGUAGCAGCCCUAAACCUACCCUCUCCGUGAAACCUUCCUUCACAUGCAUGUUACCUUCUUUGCAGGGACAUCCCCGUUUUACAGAUGAGGAAACUGAGGCUGAAGGACAUGAAAUGACCUCCCUAAAAUCACUCACCCGAAAAGUGGUGGGGAGAUGUGUCAUCUCUUGUGUGCUGUCAGGGGGCUAGGCCUUGGGAACUGAUGACAAGAUUCGAUUCGGUCCUUCCUGUCCCGCACAGCGCUUCCAGGAAGAGGGAUGACAGAGGGAGGCCCAGGAUGUUAAUAUAGCACAGAGGAGCCUCCCCAGCCCCUCAGGUCAUUGUCCUGUAAGCCAAGUGUGCAAACUGUCCCUUAGAUUGAACCACUGUAUUUAUAUUGAACCCAAGGUCUUCAUACCAAGCUACCUGGAUAAACUGCCCAGGCUGGCCUUAAACUUUUUGUUGGCUAUUGUUUGUUUUGUUUUUCAAGACAGGGUCUCGCUACAUAGUUCAGGCUGGUAUUGAACUCACCAUGUAGCCCAGCCUGGCCUCAAACUCACAGCAAUCCUCCUGGCUCAACCUCUGCAGUGCUAGGAUAACAGGCGUCCGCCACCACGCCCCGCUUGGCCUUAAACUUUUGAUCCUCCUGCUUCAGCCUCUCAGAGUGCUGGGAUUACAGGUAUGCACCCCUGAACUGGCUUCAGAUACUAUAUUCUGAGUAUUCAUCAAUGCUGUAGCUCCCAGACUUCUAGAAUCCACUUGGAAUUCACUAUCCAAUGUAGUGCCACGCUGUUCUUUAACCAGUUGGACUUUUUUGCUUCUUCUGUCUUCACCAGUUGAAGGCUUCCUUGAGAGCUAGCAUAGCAG
ensembl:lincRNA